UCCCAUAUGGUCUAGUGGUUAGGAUUUGGCGCUUUCACCGCCAAGGCCCGGGUUCAUUUCCCGGUGUGAGAA
rnacentral:tRNA from 1 species